CCUACGGGUGGCAGCAGUGGGGAAUAUUGGACAAUGCGGGCAACCCUGAUCCAGCCAUGCCGCGUGUGUGAAGAAGGCCCUCGGGUUGUAAAGCACUUUCAGUGAGGAAGAACGCCUGGUGGUUAAUACCCAUCAGGAAAGACAUCACUCACAGAAGAAGCACCGGCUAACUCCGUGCCAGCAGCCGCGGUAAUACGGAGGGUGCGAGCGUUAAUCGGAAUUACUGGGCGUAAAGCGCGCGUAGGUGGCUUGAUAAGCCGGUUGUGAAAGCCCCGGGCUCAACCUGGGAACGGCAUCCGGAACUGUCAAGCUAGAGUGCAGGAGAGGAAGGUAGAAUUCCCGGUGUAGCGGUGAAAUGCGUAGAGAUCGGGAGGAAUACCAGUGGCGAAGGCGGCCUUCUGGACUGACACUGACACUGAGGUGCGAAAGCGUGGGUAGCAAACAGGAUUAGAUACCCCUGUAGUC
rnacentral:rRNA from 1 species